rnacentral:rRNA from 1 species
UACGGGGGGGGCAAGCGUUGUUCGGAAUUACUGGGCGUAAAGGGCUCGUAGGCGGCCAACUAAGUCAGACGUGAAAUCCCUCGGCUUAACCGGGGAACUGCGUCUGAUACUGGUUGGCUUGAAUCCGGGAGAGGGAUGUGGAAUUCCAGGUGUAGCGGUGAAAUGCGUAGAUAUUGCUCGGAAGGCCAACGGCGAAGGCAGGUUACUGGUACGCAACUGACACUGAGGCACGAAAGCGUGGGGAGCAAACAGG